AUUGAACGCUGGCGGCAGGCUUAACACAUGCAAGUCGAGCGGAGCGAGGGUGCUUGCACCUUAGCUUAGCGGCGGACGGGUGAGUAAUGCUUAGGAAUCUGCCUAUUAGUGGGGGACAACAUUCCGAAAGGAAUGCUAAUACCGCAUACGCCCUACGGGGGAAAGCAGGGGAUCUUCGGACCUUGCGCUAAUAGAUGAGCCUAAGUCGGAUUAGCUAGUUGGUGGGGUAAAGGCCUACCAAGGCGACGAUCUGUAGCGGGUCUGAGAGGAUGAUCCGCCAAACUGGGACUGAGACACGGCCCAGACUCCUACGGGAGGCAGCAGUGGGGAAUAUUGGACAAUGGGCGGAAGCCUGAUCCAGCCAUGCCGCGUGUGUGAAGAAGGCCUUUUGGUUGUAAAGCACUUUAAGCGAGGAGGAGGCUACUGGUACUAAUACUACUGGAUAGUGGACGUUACUCGCAGAAUAAGCACCGGCUAACUCUGUGCCAGCAGCCGCCGUAAUAC
rnacentral:rRNA from 1 species